rnacentral:rRNA from 1 species
UACGUAGGGGGCUAGCGUUGUCCGGAUUUAUUGGGCGUAAAGAGCGUGUAGGCGGCCAUGUAGGUCCGGUGUGAAAACUCGAGGCUUAACCUCGAGAUGUCAUCGGAAACCAUUUGGCUAGAGUCCGGAAGAGGAGAGUGGAAUUCCUGGUGUAGCGGUGAAAUGCGCAGAUAUCAGGAAGAACACCAAUGGCGAAAGCAGCUCUCUGGGACGGUACUGACGCUGAGACGCGAAAGCGUGGGUAGCAAACGGG